rnacentral:rRNA from 1 species
GAUGAACGCUGGCGGCGUGCCUAAUACAUGCAAGUCGAGCGAACGGACGAGAAGCUUGCUUCUCUGAUGUUAGCGGCGGACGGGUGAGUAACACGUGGAUAACCUACCUAUAAGACUGGGAUAACUUCGGGAAACCGGAGCUAAUACCGGAUAAUAUUUUGAACCGCAUGGUUCAAAAGUGAAAGACGGUCUUGCUGUCACUUAUAGAUGGAUCCGCGCUGCAUUAGCUAGUUGGUAAGGUAACGGCUUACCAAGGCAACGAUGCAUAGCCGACCUGAGAGGGUGAUCGGCCACACUGGAACUGAGACACGGUCCAGACUCCUACGGGAGGCAGCAGUAGGGAAUCUUCCGCAAUGGGCGAAAGCCUGACGGAGCAACGCCGCGUGAGUGAUGAAGGUCUUCGGAUCGUAAAACUCUGUUAGUAGGGAAGAACAUAUGUGUAAGUAACUGUGCACAUCUUGACGGUACCUAAUCAGAAAGCCACGGCUAACUCCGUG